CAAGGAAGGUUAUAGUUGCU
rnacentral:piRNA from 1 species